UCGCCUGUUUAUCAAAAACAUCUCUUCUAGCAUGAUAUUAGAAGUAGGCCCUGCCCGGUGCCUUACGAGGUAAACGGCGGUGUUAAACCUUAAAGUAGCGUGAUAAGUCGGCCUUUAAUUGGGGUCUGGUAUGAAGGGGUUGACGUCGGAAAAACUGUCUCAGAAAAACUAACGUGAAAUUUACUUUUAAGUGAAAAGGCUUAAAUAAAAGUAAAAGACGAGAAGGCCCUGUCGAGCUUGAGGGAUUUGAAUGUUUAUUAAACGUGAUUAGGAGUUUGGCUGGGGCAGCAAUGGAGGUAGCCUCCGUUUUUAAUGCAAAGAUCCAUUAUGUUUGAAAUAAUGAAAAAAGGAAAAAGUUACCGCAGGGAUAACAGCACAAGACCGCCUCAGAGGUCGUAUCGAAGGCGGUAAGUGUGACCUCGAUGUUGGAUUAGGGUAAACCUCUUUGUGCAGGAGCAAAGCGGGUAGGACUGUUCUUCCUUUAAUCCCCUACGUGAUCUGAUUCCAGACCGG
rnacentral:rRNA from 1 species